rnacentral:rRNA from 1 species
UACGGAGGGCGCAAGCGUUGUUCGGAAUCACUGGGCGUAAAGCGCGUGUAGGCGGCUUGGCAAGUCGGAUGUGAAAGCCCGAAGCUCAACCUCGGAACUGCACUCGAAACUGCCUGGCUCGAGUCCCGGAGAGGGUGGCGGAAUUCCCGGUGUAGGGGUGAAAUCCGUAGAUAUCGGGAGGAACACCAGUGGCGAAGGCGGGCACCUGGACGGUGACUGACGCUGAGAUGCGAAAGCGUGGGGAGCAAACAGG